AAUAGUUUAAAUAGAAUGUCAGCUUUGGGUGUUGACGGUGAAGCGGUAAUGCUUCUUUCCUGA
rnacentral:tRNA from 1 species